GACGAACGCUGGCGGCGUGCCUAAUACAUGCAAGUAGAACGCUGAAGGAGGAGCUUGCUUCUCUGGAUGAGUUGCGAACGGGUGAGUAACGCGUAGGUAGCCUGCCUGGUAGCGGGGGAUAACUAUUGGAAACGAUAGCUAAUACCGCAUAAUAGCAGUUAUUGCAUGAUAACUGUUUGAAAGGUGCAAUUGCACCACUACCAGAUGGACCUGCGUUGUAUUAGCUAGUUGGUGGGGUAACGGCUCACCAAGGCGACGAUACAUAGCCGACCUGAGAGGGUGAUCGGCCACACUGGGACUGAGACACGGCCCAGACUCCUACGGGAGGCAGCAGUAGGGAAUCUUCGGCAAUGGACGGAAGUCUGACCGAGCAACGCCGCGUGAGUGAAGAAGGUUUUCGGAUCGUAAAGCUCUGUUGUAAGAGAAGAACGAGUGUGAGAGUGGAAAGUUCACACUGUGACGGUAUCUUACCAGAAAGGGACGGCUAACUACGUG
rnacentral:rRNA from 1 species